UACCAUAGGGAGUUGGGAGUCCUUAUUUAUUCUUUUGGUCCAUGUCGGUACAUGAUUAGUGACUAGUAGAGUCCCUUAUACUGAGAGUCAAGACAAUUUGAAUCCAUUUCUGAUUGGUUCCCGUAUUUUAGGCCUCCACAGUGUCACAAACGGGAAUAAAGAUUACAUUUUACCAAUUGCAAAGAUUAUAAUCUGGAAUGGACCAGGGAAUUACGGGUUCGGCAAGGAACAAACGGAAUGAGAGGAGGAACGGAGAAAGGAAUUUGAGAAUGGGCCGAUCAAAGAUUACGAAAAACGUUCACUUUCUGUAAUCUUUAUUCCCGUUUGUGACAUCCAUGAGCCGAAUUGUCUUGACUCUUAGUAUAAAGGGACUCUAGUGACUAGUGACUACAUGAAAAUGUGAAUCAUUUUUUUAUUUAAUUUUGUUCGCGUGAGGCUGUCCCUCGUCGUAGUCUCAUCACUAAGCCGAUUCAUUCAACACUCGCUUGUUGGUGUGUACCCCUGGGAGUAUGUAGGUUCAUCAAUGUGUUCAUAAGUACUCAAACUAGUGCGUACCUUCACUUACUCUCGAUGUGAGGUUUUGGCUGCCAGAAAACCUUUAACUCUAAUGCAUCUCUCUUCGUACAACUUCACCACUACUCAGUUACUCAAGCUUGUCUCAAAUGCAGAGGGUCUGCUGCAGAAAUUGGCAGAUACCCAUAUCCCGGCUGAGUAUCAAUGCGAAAUCAAUGAGUGGCUGUGUCUAAAACAAGAAUGUGAGGAAGUGUUGUCAAGCGUAGCUUCCAACAGUGCCGAAGAGGAUGAUGAAAACAUCGAUGAUAGUGAUGCUUCCUCUUCUGUGAAGAGCGAAAAAGGCAAACGAGGACUGGGUCCCAUUCCUGAAGUCACUGAAAAUGAAGUGAGCUCAUUUAGUGGAAGCAGCGGCAGCGAAAGGAAUCGCUCAAUAGAUUAUGGAUAUUACCAGAAAUUUGAGAAACCUGUUACAACACGCAACAAUUCUGAUUAUUGUAACAACAACACUAAUAAUAAUAUCAGUAAUAAUCAUAAUCCACACUCAAGAAACCAUUCUCUAGUCAUAGAUCCUGAGCCAAGUAACUUGAAUUUCACAGUUGUCUUUGAUAACUACUACCCAAAAUUUCGUCAAAUUACAGAAACCAAAAUUAGGCAUGAAAAGAAUUCUCUGGAUGAUAGACUAUGUCCAAAAAACUUGGGUAAUAAUAAGCUGCGACGGAAAAGCAUUUGCGCAGCAGACGAUCCUUUGAGAAAUCCAGACUAUGUUUCUGCCCCAGACAAAAGAUGGUGAUUAUUCUAGUCAUGCUAAUUUAUUGUAGCUCUGUUAAAAAUGUCAGUACUCCAGAGAUAUCUGAAAGCUGGCUCUUGGGUUGAUAUGACCAAUUGAACUGUGGAAAACGUUGUCGUUAAAGGCAUGAAUUCUAAUUCCUCAACAUUUCUACUGCUUCACCAGCAAUGGAAUUACAUGUGAUGUGUUGAAGUGCAAAUACCAGCAAGUGUUUGGAUUCGUAAUACAUCAUGAGAAGUCGGAAGAAAAGGGAAGAUGAAAAAAGAAUAGAUUCACGAUGACAUGACUUAAAUAUCCCAUAUCAGCAUAUCCUAAUAAUUGACCUGAUUCUGCCUUAUUACAUAGUUUGUUUGGACGUUUUUCAUCUGGAAUUCUCACAAAAACUUUGGUUCCAAAGGGCUUUAAAUUUGAAAAAUUUGGCUUUUUAUUCAUAAAAAUUUCGUACGGUGCUUUACACAAUUUCGUAUUAGCUAAUGCCCUGUUAUUUAAUAUACUGCUGUUUUAACACAACAUGGCCAAAAGUAAUUUGAUAAAUUAGCUUCUAACAAAAGACACCUUACUUAUCCAUAAUAGUCCUAUUAAACCUCUCUGCCACACCGUUUAAUUGAUGACAAUACGGAGGGCAAGGCUGUAAAUAAUUCCCUUACUUUUUACAAAAUUUGAGAAGUUUUUAUUAAUAUAUUCUGUUCUGAUAUCACAGCGGAGAACUUUGAUGAAUUUACCGGUUAUAUUUUCUACAAAAUUAGUAUAUUCUAUGAAGGUAUUUAUUACUUGAUCUUUGCUAGGGAUACAAAAUGAAACAGCAAAUUUUGAGAAAUCAUCAAUAAAGCUUACAAUAUACUUGCCAUUACUUACCCUGCUGGUAAUGGUCCUAUUAAGUCAAUACACAAUUUCCAGGAUAUCAUUGGCUCAAGAUCUUGAAUCUCGAUACUUGAGAUUAUUCAUUUUAGCUUUAAUGCAAGUUUCACAUCUCAUGAAGGUCUUCUGGAGUUUCGGGAGUCCAUCGGCUUUGUGCGUUUGUAUUGUAGACAUUUGGCCCUUGAUUUUGAUACCAGUCUCUUCUCCCUUGGUUGCCGUUGCCUCUUGUGCGAAAAUUUCCUCUCCAUCUACUGCCUCUUCUGUUAGACCUGUUUCCGUUUCGUCCUCUCCAGAGAAUUUCCCCUCCAGUUUGAACUUCCUCUCCAGUUUGAAUUUUGCCAAUUUGAAUUUGCCUGGCCCCUGUGUUGCCUGAAGGGUCCUCUUCCUCUCUGAUUGUUUCCUCGGAUGUAAAAAGAGUUCAGUUGAUGAGUCACUUCAUCAACACUUGAACAUUGCUCGUUCUUUAGAAAUGCAACUUGGAUUUUCGUUUUAACGUAUUCAGUGUUACGAUUAUCCUCGUCCACUGAAUCAAGAAGAUCAUUAAUAUAGAAGAGAAAUUUUGGCAAAGCCAAUAGUAAAUACUGAAGUUAAUCCUCUUCAUUUAUGGUCUCACCGGUAUCACUUAAGUUGUUGAUUAAUUUUUCAAAUUUAUUGAAGAAUUCCUCCGGUUUAUCGGUUUCUUUGAGUUUAAGUUCAAUUAACUUUUGUUUUGUUAAUAAUCUUCUGGAUUGGCCUUUUGCUACAAAAGUAUGUUCUAAUUUCUCUAACAUAUCUUUAGGCUCCGUUAAAGUCAUAAUAUGCUCCAACUGAUGAUUAUCAAUGGCUGAUACAAUGAUAUGCUCAGCUUUAAUUUUCAUGCUGGCCCAGUUUUGAUCCGUUAUUCCAUCCGGUUUUCAUCACGUAAAAUACAUUGGUUGCAAUUGUUCAUUUCCAGUAAAAGUGUGAUGCGAAAUCUCCAUUUUGAAAAAUUCUUCCCACUAAACACGGGCACUUUUAUUUUUGUGCUGUUAUUUGCCAUAUUGCGUUAGUUAAAAAAAAGUGUUCAAGUUAAGCACAUAUUUCACAGUUUAUACAUUUUCGCGUCACGCACAUAUUUCGCGGUGUAUGCAUUUCCACGCUACGCACAUAUUACGCAGUUUAUAAAUCUCCACGACAAGCACUUAGGUAUUCAACUUUUCAAACCGGGCUCUGCUACCAUGUUGGAAUAUAAGGAAAAAGGAGACGAAUUACGAUCUGGUUACGAACUGGUUUAUUCGCGGCCCACCGCUGGGGCGGUUAUCAACGCAACUGACAAAAACGAUAUUGAAGAUUCACAAACAGGAAAGCAAGUUACAUAAUCAUUGAGGUAGAUGCACUACAUAGAUUUAGAUAAGUCAACAAAAAUUCGGAAUCCUGGUAUUCGAAAACCAAAGAAAACAUAGUUUUCCUGAGCUUCAAUGUCAAUUUAGUGACUUUGGAUUUUGGGGAGGGCGGCUCUAUCCCCCAUCUUAAGGGGUCCAAACCUCCCCUUCAAAUGCGCUCCUAAAAAAUUUCUGCUUGCCCAAAUAAAGUGUUAACUUAUGAGAGUAAUUUCCCAAAUUUUCAUGAAAUCAUCUGUCUUUAACCGAGAUAUCGUUUUUUGUUACUUUACCCAUCUAUGAUCAAUGCACUGUACACUGGUGGCCGCAAGCGACUGAGCUACCCGCAAUCUGCAUAUGCAGGAUUAAGGCCUGCUUGAUGUUCAGCAGGGGACAGUGGAUUCUAACCCGCCUACAAACAUCUGCGCGGAACCUUCCCCAGCCAUCGGGACUGAUGAUUCUCCCAAUAAAAUUUCUGGUCGACUGAGGCCAGUUGGACCGCACUUCUCACGGGAAUGCAGAGGCUUCGGUGGACAUACCCAAAAAACUCCUGGUCACCAGGAAAUUCAGCUACAAGACUAGUACUACUGGCGUGUGGUGCGCCCUGGACGGAUUCCCGUCAGGCAAAUGCCUCCACGCAGCAAUGACUAGUCCCUGACACAUCACUACCAGCAGACGUUGGCUAAGGAAGAAAAUCCUUAUCACCAAACUUAAUGCAGCACAAUUUUUCCAUUCUGUCGUGAUAAAAAAUCAUUUAACCUGUUCGAAUAUCUCUCACAAUACGGACCUCCUUUUGCAAGAUUUUGCCAGGGGAGGUUUCACCAUGUCAAAAUAGAUUAGAUGGCAGGCUGAUAAACCUACAAUAUUGUUAAUACUAAUACUCUUACAUACAUCAAAAUUAUAAGCUGUUUGACAUAGGUUUUGUAUUAUUAUUUCAGGUGA
rnacentral:lncRNA from 1 species